AGAGUUUGAUCAUGGCUCAGAACGAACGCUGGCGGCGUGGAUAAGACAUGCAAGUCGAACGGGAUACCUUCUGUAGCAAUACAGGAGGUGUUCAGUGGCGUAAGGGUGCGUAACACGUGGGCAAUCUGCCGAGAUGUGGGGGAUAGCUCGCCGAAAGGCGAAUUAAUACCGCAUGUGGUUAGUGAAGACAUCUUCACGACACCAAAGCCGGGGCAACCUGGCGCAUCUUGAUGAGCCCGCGGCCUAUCAGCUUGUUGGCGGGGUAACGGCCCACCAAGGCUAUGACGGGUAGCUGGUCUGAGAGGACGACCAGCCACACUGGAACUGAGACACGGUCCAGACACCUACGGGUGGCAGCAGUCGAGAAUUUUUCUCAAUGGGGGAAACCCUGAAGGAGCGACGCCGCGUGGAGGAUGAAGGUCUUCGGAUUGUAAACUCCUGUCAUUAGGGAACAAUGUGCAUUUGUUAACUGCAGAUGCAUUGAUAGUACCUGAAGAGGAAGAGACGGCUAACUCUGUGCCAGCAGCCGCGGUAAUACAGAGGUCUCAAGCGUUGUUCGGAUUCAUUGGGCGUAAAGGGAGCGUAGGUGGCGGGGUAAGUCAGGUGUGAAAUCUCGGGGCUCAACCCCGAAACUGCAUUUGAUACUGCCUUGCUUGAGUACUGGAGAGGAGAUCGGAAUUUACGGUGUAGCAGUGAAAUGCGUAGAUAUCGUAAGGAAGACCAGCGGCGAAGGCGGAUCUCUGGACAGUUACUGACACUGAGGCUCGAAGGCCAGGGGAGCAAACGGGAUUAGAUACCCCGGUAGUCC
rnacentral:rRNA from 1 species